UCAACCGAAUCUGAUUUUCUUUCUAAUGUAAUUUGUUUUCAAAUCUAAUAAAUUGGUCAACCGAAACUGAUUUUCUUUCUAAUGUCGUAAUUUUGUUUUCAAAUCUAAAUAAAGCACAGAGACACGAUUAAGUCAGUUCUAUGAUCUGGUAAGGUGUGUGUUGACGUCACAAUAUCAGCUGUUGAUUCCAGGAAUCGGUAUUGCCAGUUGCUUAACUGUUCAGGAGCAAACUAAGAUAGCAGCACGCUAUGAAGUGUGGAAUUCCGUUGUUUUGGUUCAGAGAUGGUGGCAUGCAUGGAAAGGUAAGCAUGCAACACUACGUCUGGAGACAAUAAAGAGUUGUCAUGCAAAGCUGAUGACCAUGAGCUCUGUGAACAAUGCAAGAAGUGGCUGACCUACCACAUCCCAAUCAGCGGAGAACGUGGCAACAAAAAUCAACACAUCAAGCAGCUCAUGAAAGUGGACUAGCAAGACACACAAUACAUAUGGUGUUGCAUAAAGAAUUGAAUUUUCAUCCAUUACAUGCAGGAACUAAAACCUGAGGACUGUGACCACAGAAGUCCAGAACUCCAAGAUGUCCAGAUCUCACUCCAUGUGUUUAGAAAUAAUACAUUUCUAAAUCUCUCAGAGAGAUUUAUGCAGUAGUGAUACGAUGAAGUAGUUGUAUGCUGUCAACUUAAUGUGACAGUCCCCUGAAGGGAAUAAUACUACUGUUGUUUAGACCUAGGAAGCUGCACCGCUUCCUGUCGGCCUUGACACAUUUCCUGUGUCCUUAUGUUUACAAGGGGGAGACAAGCACCUCCACCCAGCUAAGCCUGCAUCCAGAGACAUGUUUCUGAGUCUUUGCUCGUCAUCAGUCUGGAGAAACAUGUCUCUGGAUGCAGGCUUGGCUGGGUGGAGGUGUUUGUCUCCCCCUUGUAAACAUAAGGACUGUCACAUUAAGUUGACAGUAUACAACUACUUCACUCCAUGUGAUUUUUACCUGCAGGGUUACACAAAAGAGGUGUACAAGACAAAACCUUAUACACGGGAGGGCUUGCAGACAUGGAUUCAGGAGGUCCUCAAUGAUAUCCCAGACGACGUCCUUCAGAAGUUUGUCCAUUCCAUCCCUGGCCGUUUGAGGAAUCUGGUUGAUGCCACCAGUGCUUACAUUGAAAUAUGAAGAUUUACUUUCAUUUUCCUAUGUAAUAAAGAACAUGUAUCAUUUGUCUCCAAUAAGUUUGUAAAAGGAAUAUAGAUUUUAUUUCCAAUUUUUAAUGCUUACUUACUUUUCGCCCACCCUGUAUAUACAUAUGCGUAUCUUUCACUUGAUUGUCAUCGGACUGUUGCCAUGCUGGGGUACUGUUUUUGAGUGGAUUAGUUAAACAAAUCAGCCCCGGUACUUGGGUCUUUUUUCUUUGAGUUUGGUAUUUAUUCUAUCAGCUUCCUUUGUCAGACUGCUAUGUUAUGGGAAUGUAAGCAAACUAACAUCAGUUACCAAGUUGGGGCAAAUGUCACAUACACAUGCACGCACACAUACACACAGACACACAUUCAAAGAAGUCACGGGCUUCUUUCAGUUUCUGCCUACAAAAUCCACCUAUAAAGCUUUAGUCGACCUGGGGCUGUAGUAGAAGACAUUUGUCCAUUGUGCCACACAAUGAACUGAACUCAGAACCAUACGAUUGGGAAGCAAACUUCUUACCGCACAGCCAUGUCUAUGCCUACGCCUCUUAUUUUGAAUGAUGGUAAAGAAUUUUUAAUUAAUUAAAAUCUUGCAGUAGGGAGAGAAAAAUAAUUGAAUUAAUGAAUAGUUCUGGUUGAUAUGCAAAGAUAAAAGAAAAUUAAAAAAAGAAAGAGAGACAACCUCCUAAUUCUAAUAAAUUUAUCAAUUAGAUUACAGUAUGGGGAAAGUGAGCUUGAUCUAUUAGCAAAUGCAAUGACAACUCAGGAUAUGUUUCUGCUUUAUUGUAUCUCCUCAGUGAAGGAUAGUCUGAUUGUACUUGCAGUUUGAUUGAGUGAAUACUGAGUGGUGUGACACAUUGGAACAAUGAGUGGGUGAAAACACUCAGAGACAUCUGCUGCAUGACUAAGAAAUGAUGAAGCCAGAACAAAUAUUUUUCUUUUUUUAUUUGGCAGUACAUAUACUAAAAUUGGAACGAUACGGAGAAAACUAGCAUGGCCCCUGCGCAAGGAUGACACGCAAAUUCGUGAAGCGUUCCAUAUUUUCUAUAGGCGCAGGAGUGGCUGUGUGGUAAGCAGCUUGCUUACCAACCACAUGGUUCCAGAUUCAGUCCCACUGUGUGGCACCUUGGGCAAGUGUCUUCAACUAUAGCCUCAGGCCGACCAAAGAUUUGUGAGAGGAUUUGGUAGACAGAAACUGAAAGAAGCCUGUCGUAUAUAUAUAUAUAUAUAUAUAUAUAUAUAUAUAUAUAUGUGUGUGUGUGUUUGUGUGUCUGUGUUUGCCCCCCCACCAUCGCUUGACAACCAAUGCUGGUGUGUUUACGUCCCUGUAACUUAGUGGUUCGGCAAAAAGAGACCGAUAGAAUAAGUACUAGGCUUACAAAGAAUAAGUCUUGGGGUCGAUUUUCUCGACUAAAGGCGGUGCUCCAGCAUGGCCGCAGUCAAAUGACUGAAACAAGUAAAAGAGUAGUAUAUAAGAUGUGUUUCACAAUUCCACAAUGUUGCACCAGAAAUCUUGCAUAGCACUGUGAGAUGCACUUUGGAUUCUCAAUUUCAUCUUAACAUGUCUGUGCCAAUAACUAUGAAUGUGAUUGAGUGGUCUGCAGAAGUAUCCAGAAUAUGAUAUCUGAUAUAUCUUGUUGUUUAGUAAGAGAGCAGUAACCAGCAAAUCCUUUCUGCAUUGAAUAACAAUAGAAGAGAUGGGUGGAAUAUGUUUGUAAAUCUUGUCUUUGGUCUUGUGCUCAUACUACAAGAUGUUUUAUGCUCUCAUUAGAAGGCUAGUCUAAGUACCAUCAGUAUGAUCUUCAAGUUCUCUCUUCAUAAUCCAAGUUUCAGCUGUUGCAGAAAAGAUUGGUCUCAACAUCAUACCUUGUUAACUUUGAAAUACUCAAUAGUCAAAUGUUUUGAAACUUGUUUCAGCCAUUCCAAGCCAAUCCUUUGCCGAUAAAGCAACUUUUUUUCAUAUUGUCAGCAACUUACAACCCAAAGUAUAAACACAUUAGAUGUAGUGAAGUAAAUAUUUUAAUUAUUUCAAAUCAAAACUAUGAAAGGAAAAUAAAUUAGUUGAGUGAGACAAACUCCAUAGCAUUCUGACUACUCUGUCAAAUGUAAUACUCAUUUAUUCACAUUGUUUUUAAUUAAUCAUGCAUGAUUUCAUAGUUUCAAGAUUUCAAUGAUGUCAUCAUCAUCGUCAUCACUAUCAUCAUCAUCAUUUAACGUCUGCUUUCCAUGCUGGCAUGGGUUAGACUGUUUGACUGGAACUCGUAAGCUGGAGAGCUGUACCAGGUUCCAAUCUGAUUUGGCAUGGUUUCUAUGGCUGGAUUCCCUUCGUAAUGCCAACCACUUGAAGAGUUCAAUAGGUACUCUUUAUGUGCCACCAGCAUGGGUGCCAGUUACAUGACAAUCAAAAAUGGCCACGACUAUGAUUUCACAGGUCCCAUUUACAUAACACUGGAACAGCCAUGACAAUGGUCUCACUUGGCUUGACAAGUCUUCUCGAGCACAGUAUUGCCGGAAAAUUUGGAAACAUGGGAAGGAAUAGAAGUGGAAAUUUAUCAGGUGUGGAAUUGGCUAUGAACGACAUUUUUGUGUAGGUACAAAAGGCUGAACUUAGCCAUUUUGAACUCAGUCACAGCCAUUUUGGCCCGAUAUGGCUGGUUUAAAUGUUAAAGGGUUAAUGAUCAAUUAAUUCUGUACUCAGUUUAUAUCUUCCAUAUUUGUGUUUGUAAAUUACAUUAGUCACCUAAACUUUAUUCAGCAACUUCCAGACAUUUUUUGUGGUUUGUUGCCGAUUAGAAAUUUAAUAUUCAUGUUCACUUUGUGUACUUGUAAUGUAUUAUUCAUGGUAUUUUGUAAUUAGAUAUAACUCAUGUUUCUACCUGUUGUUUAAUGAGUAUUAUAAUUUUGAUGACUUGUUGUAUUGUAGUAAUUCCCAACCUUUUCGCCAGCAAGAACCCUCUUUUAUUCAAAUGAAUUUUCCCAGGGACCUCAGGCUUAUGAAAUCUUUCUCUCUCCACCCCACCCCCACUCAAUAAACUGAUUUUAUUAACAUACAACAAA